rnacentral:rRNA from 1 species
GAGUUUGAUCGUGGCUCAGAACGAACGCUGGCGGCAGGCUUAACACAUGCAAGUCGAACGCCCCGCAAGGGGAGUGGCGCACGGGUGAGUAACGCGUGGGAAUAUGCCCUUUGGUUCGGAAUAACACAGGGAAACUUGUGCUAAUACCGGAUAAGAUCUACGGAUGAAAGAUUCAUCGCCGAAGGAGUAGCCCGCGUAGGAUUAGCUAGUUGGUGAGGUAAUGGCUCACCAAGGCGACGAUCCUUAGCUGGUCUGAGAGGAUGAUCAGCCACACUGGGACUGAGACACGGCCCAGACUCCUACGGGAGGCAGCAGUGGGGAAUAUUGGACAAUGGGGGAAACCCUGAUCCAGCCAUGCCGCGUGAGUGAUGAAGGCCUUAGGGUUGUAAAGCUCUUUCGUCGGGGAAGAUAAUGACGGUACCCGAAGAAGAAGCCUCGGCUAACUCCGUGCCAGCCGCCGCCGUAAC